rnacentral:lncRNA from 13 species
CCCCCCCCCCCCCCCCCCCCCCCCCCCUGAGCAUAAGAUAUGGCUCAGGGGGUAAAGGAGAGAUGCAGUGCAGUGUUUCAGUCCAGCACAAACACUGCUGCCAAUUAAAAUAAUUAGACCAUAGUCAUUUGAAGCAGAUGUGUUGGAGCUGAGCUGGAACAAAAUCCUCGACACACUGCAGCUCUCCAUGACCAGUUGGUGACCCCUGAACUAGACUAUAGAAAAGCCUACACAACACUGUUCAAAAAAUACCAACAAUCCAUAAACAAUGAAAGAUUUACAAUAUUUCAGCGGUUGCAUGGAUGUUGAAAGUCAAUAUUCUUUCACAAUAGCCUGUGGCCUGUGGGUGUCGGGUAUGACAUCACUGUAUUCUACUGACAUAGCCUUGAAGUGAAAAGCACAACAAUUACAACGGAGAUGCUAUUUGCAUGCACACCAACACACAUACUGUAUGAAGUGCUUGUUAAUUAUACAUAUGAGAAGUCAGUCUAGCCUUAGGUGAACCAUCACCUAGUUGAACCCCUCAGUUACUGUUACAUAUUAAUUUAUGACAUGAUACAUGUAGCAAUGUAAUAUAGCAUUAUCUAAAAACCACAUUUUACAUGUACUGGUAUUGAUUGUUGUUAAUCCUUGCUUCUAAAUUAGAGUUGGGUGUAGGCCUAGUGCACAGGAACGUGGCAGCUGCAUAUAGGAUUAGUAGAAUUGAUAAGCUAUAUAGGUCGACUAUAACCUAAACGCAUAUUAUGCAGAAAUGGGAAUCUAUUGCAAUGAAUCUCAGAAUGAGUGAUCCGGUCGCACUCUCUCCCACUGUAGGCUAUAAUGACUUACGAAGGUAACGAGAGGACUUGUGAUGCUGCACCCACUGAGCAGAUGUUGCCACGAGAGACUAUAGUGCUGCAACAAGAGACAAGACACGUCUUGGAUCACAAAUAGGAUCCGUGCGCAUGCUCCGUCUGUUCCGUUUACUGUAUAUUCACUGUGGUAAAAGGGCAGGCAGGCAACAAACCAAGCUUUUUACAGCAAAGUGGCUUCUACAAUGUAAAUACGCUCCAGGGAAACCAAAAGGGAUAUCAACAGGUAUUUUUAGGUGUGAUGAGACAAAAGAACAAAGGAUGCCGUAGAAGAGAGGCUGCUUACAAGCCGGGAAUCUGCUUCAAAGCACAACAAAUGGAUCUAUCGCCUCCCCCUGCCGCCUCUAGAUAAUGAUACUUG